rnacentral:sRNA from 1 species
GAAGAGAAAUUUUUUAAACCCACACCCAGCCGAUUCAACCGGUUCACCGGGUCACGGGUUAAUGGUGAGUUUUUGUGGUUUUUUUUGGUUUUGAACUUGUCGGGUUUUAGCACUAAACCCUAACCGGAAAAGUAUUCGGGUCACGGUUCAACCGGUCGGACCGAACGGUUCGGGUCGGGCAUGAAAACACUGCUUAUGAGCCUUCUGAUGGAGAUACAGCUCACAUACCUGGCACAAGUGUACGUACAUUUUUGUCACUAUGUUCUGUGUACAUAUAUAUUGUUUCAUACAUUACUAAAAAGUUGCUUUCCGAUGAUAAAUUCUACAGGUUGAGGCGGCAGGAGAAUCCAAAUUAGUGACAGGGAUGGAAGUUGAAAUACCUGAGAAGACCCACAGUGAUCCCCCGUCACCAUUUCAAGUAGUUAACAAUGUAAGCUAACUCUUGCAA